UACGUAGGGGGCAAGCGUUGUCCGGAUUUAUUGGGCGUAAAGAGCGUGUAGGCGGCCAGGUAGGUCUGCUGUGAAAACUCGAGGCUCAACCUCGAGACGUCGGCGGAAACCAUCUGGCUAGAGUCCGGAAGAGGAGAGUGGAAUUCCUGGUGUAGAGGUGAAAUUCGUAGAUAUUCGGAAGAACACCAGUGGCGAAGGCGGCGAUCUGGGUAGAUACUGACGCUGAGGUGCGAAAGCGUGGGGAGCAAACAGG
rnacentral:rRNA from 1 species